rnacentral:rRNA from 1 species
AACGAACGCUGGCGGCAUGCCUAACACAUGCAAGUCGAACGAGACCUUCGGGUCUAGUGGCGCACGGGUGCGUAACGCGUGGGAACCUGCCCUUAGGUUCGGAAUAACUCCCCGAAAGGGGUGCUAAUACCGGACAAUGUCUUCGGACCAAAGAUUUAUCGCCUUUGGAUGGGCCCGCGUUGGAUUAGCUAGUUGGUAGGGUAAAAGCCUACCAAGGCGACGAUCCAUAGCUGGUCUGAGAGGAUGAUCAGCCACACUGGGACUGAGACACGGCCCAGACUCCUACGGGAGGCAGCAGUGGGGAAUAGUGGACAAUGGGCGGAAGCCUGAUCCAGCAAUGCCGCGUGAGUGAUGAAGGCCUUAGGGUUGUAAAGCUCUUUUACCCGGGAUGAUAAUGACAGUACCGGGAGAAUAAGCUCCGGCUAACUCCGUG